CCCGCCGUGGCAAAUCUUGAAUCGCAAGAAAUCCGCUGGGCAUAGGGAGGGGAUAGAGAUGUUUGGGUUUUUUUUCUCUUCCCCCCCCACGCCUCAAGACCUGAGGAAAUCCAGCCCAAGUUCGCCGCGAUGACUGUGCUGCUGGCAUCGGGGUUUCUCCGCGGCAUCCCUGCCUCUGGACCGCCUCGCCGCUGCUGGCUUUGAAUCCUGAACGCUGGGUUAAAGCUUAAUUCUUAUGUUGUGCUUGCUGGGCUGCCGCUUUCCCGUGUUUUUGCGAUGGGAGGUGGAGGAAAAGGGAUUGUCCUUGAGUCAAGACUGAAAAUGUGAUUAGGAGGAACUGCUUUCACUAAUCUGUUUCUGACCUUUUAGUCCAUGUUGGCCUGUGACCCCUUUCAGCUUUCAAAUCAAGCCUGAUUAGACUACAACACUGGUCUCCCUAUGGAAGCAGCUGUUUCUAUCUGGCUUUGAGAUCCCAUGGAGAAGCUGAGGAGGGGGAUGGCUCUUCAUAUCCAUGAAGCCUGGAUACUUCUGGUUGUAAUCCCUGCUUUGGUCACUCCAGCUGCCAUCAAUCAUGAAGACUACCCUGCUGAUGAAGGGGACCAGACCUCCAGUAAUGACAAUCUGAUCUUUGAUGACUACCGAGGGAAGGGCUGUGUGGAUGACAGUGGCUUUGUGUACAAACUGGGAGAACGCUUUUUCCCGGGACAUUCCAACUGUCCCUGUGUUUGUACUGAGGAUGGACCUGUUUGCGACCAACCAGAAUGCCCUAAAAUCCACCCAAAGUGUACAAAAGUGGAACACAAUGGAUGCUGUCCAGAAUGCAAAGAAGUGAAAAACUUUUGUGAAUAUCAUGGGAAAAAUUACAAAAUCUUGGAGGAAUUUAAGCCCUCGCCAUGCGAAUGGUGUCGCUGCGAGCCCAGCAAUGAAGUUCACUGUGUUGUAGCAGACUGCGCAGUUCCUGAGUGUGUCAACCCAGUCUAUGAACCAGAACAGUGUUGUCCUGUCUGCAAAAAUGGAAUUCCUGAAAUGGCCAGAUUUUAAGAUUGCAGUUAAAACCCCUUCAGUCAAAGUCUGUGCAAUAUGCUGAUUGAUUGUGCAGAUGCAAGUUGAGCGCGACCAGCCAAGAAGAUGUAUCCACCGCUCCGGACUUUGCUGGACUCCACGAUCCUCUUCAUAGGUCCCGGAGACCGAAGUUGGUAGCGUAGCGUAGCCACAUCACCCUUCGUUCUUGGUGGAUGAAGUAUUCAUGGCAGCCAGCCAGCUUUUUGGGUACUCAGUUGACACCCCCACCACCUCCCCAUUCAGAUGUCAGGCUGAGGGGUCACAGGAAGGACCUGGUCCUCUUUGGGCAGCACUUGCCCAGCGCAUGUGGGCUGGUGGUUGUUUCACAGCUGACUCAGUGCUGCUGUGCUGAUGCAGAUGCCACCCCAAAUCAGGAGUCAUCUUCCAUUUUUGCAAGAACCUGUAGAAGUCGCCUUAACAUUGCGAUGGCAGAGCCUACUGCACUGAGUCUUUGUGGCCAGCUAUGAAAAUCAAUGUUUUUAGAAGACUGAAUGCAAAAGAAAAUUCCCGAGACUACAAAGGAUGUGGUUUUGAAUGUUUGUCGGCUAAUGUUCUUUGUGUUUACCAGCAGGAAUGUCAACUGUGGUACCCUGUUAGCUCAAUUAAAGGAGUGAUUUGAUUACCAACAGAGGAAACAAAGGAUUGAUUUAAAAGCUGGUAGAAGAUCAAGACUGAAAACAAGGUGGUAUGUUUGGGCCAGGCAGUCAUCGACCUGACAAAAUACUUCAGUACUUGCUUUACUGUUCCUUGCAAAAAGAAGUAAUUUCACUGAAAUUGAUUUUCAGUGGAGGUCGUUCACUUCCAUCACUUUGGGCCACAUGGUUAAAGGCACGAAGAUGCCGAACUUGCUGAUGAGAGUUAGGCAUGUAAGAAUCUGCCAAGGGCUAGCCCCUCCAGUGGUUUUGGAAAUCUCCUGCAGCUGGAUUAUCCAGAUGCUUAAAUGCCCUGCUUACUCAAGACUGUGACCUUCUCCUUGUGGACACAGCGGUUGGAAGAGUCAUCUAUUAGUAGUGAAAAGCUUUGGAAAGGUAUAUAGAGGUUAAACCUUCCAAAAUUAUCCAUCCUGGUGCUGGAUAGCAUCAAGGCGCACUGAGUUGAAUCUGCCACCUCCUGAAGUUUAAAAGAAGGAGAGGCUAAAAGAGGCAAGGGAGAGGAAAAGCCUUUAGAGAACAAAAAAGACAUGAAUUGAACAGCACUUAAUGUGAUUAACUCUAUCACACAGCUCAGUGCUCACACAAAGCGGUGGCUGCUGAACUGUGUAGUGUCAGAGUGACAGGGAUGCUGCCGGGAAAAGCUCCAUUCACAGAGUACUGCGGUUGGGAGCCAGCAGGACAGCAACUGCUUUUGACCCGAUGUGUUCAUCUGCAUGCUUACAGGUCCGCUAAUGCUUCCCAAGCCUUUGUGCUCUCUUCAUAUGCCUAGGAAACAAGAACAAGAUAAUUCACAUAUUAAACAAGGCAAGAGAAGACUCUGCCAGACAGCGUCAAGGCCAGGGAGGAGCUGAAUGCCGCUCUCUUGAAUUUGGACCCCAGGUUCUAACCAUCUUUCCGUGCUCCCACCCCAGCAGAGUUCAAAAUGAAUGUCUACAGACAGCCUGAAGAGAAGGGUCGGGGAGGAUUAUGAGAAGCUGUUUGUUGGACAGGCCUUGCUCCAAAGCUCUCAUUAAGCGGACACAGCUUACAGAGAUGUGGGAAACACGUUAUGAGGUCCAAACUGCUUUGCAGGAACCACGAUAAUUCCUGCUGGCAUCGAAGUGAAGGUGGAUGACUGCAACAUCUGCCACUGCCACAACGGGGACUGGUGGAAGCCAGCGCAGUGCUCCAAGCGCGAGUGCCAGGGCAAGCAGGCUCUGUAGUGGCAAAACCCCCAGCCAGCGGCACCGCCGGCCAAACAACCCACUGAUGAGGAUGAUGACGAUGACAAAGAAACAGCUUCAACACUGCACACGUGUCCAACCUCCCGCCAGCUUCAACAGGGUCACCAGCAAAACCUGCAAGGGUUUCAUACAAGCAGAGAUUUUACUCCUUGGGAAGGGUCUCCCGUUCCACACUGUCCUGCUUUUCUCUCACUUUACACACUAUGUAUCUGGUAUCUACUCUUGUAAUUAUCAAUGCUUGGUAGGGGUGCAGUGGUCAGAUUUGGGGAGGGAAAAAAAAAGGAGGGGCCCACACAAGUUCUUGAACUGGUGAUACCUCCAAGAUGCUGAUUGAUUCAUCACUCUAACUUUCUACAGUGUGGAUCAUGGGGUUUUUCCCGUUUAUUUAUUUAAGGGUUUUUUUGCUAUUGUGAUUUGGUUUUUUUAAAGGCUCUUCCUAACCUGGGAUUGUCAGGGCAAUACAGCUAUGGAUCAUUUUUAUCGUGUCUAUAAGGGGAGGGCUGGUAAGGCCAGGAGGGAGGUAGAAAUUACAAGGGGAAGAAGAGUUAAAAUACCCCAACUGGAAUGUAACCUGCAGAAGGGCCGAGUUAGAUGCACAGGUAUACGACUGGACACCCAAGACAGAAGCUGCAUCUGUGUUACACUUUCUCCACUGAGUGGGGACAAUGAAGUCAAAGACACCUACACAGUCACCGUGACCUUGAUUGGAGCAAGAAGCAAAACCAGCUGCAUGGGCGGUGAGCCAGAAAGCCUUGGAAAGGCACCAAGAAAGUAACAUCUUACCUGGGUUGUCUCUGUGCGAUGCCCAGCUGGGGCAUCAAUGUUGGAAGAGGGUCCCAGAUGUGCCCCAGCUGUGCCACAAAUCUGCUGCCUCCAGCAGAGCCCCAUCAUGUUCUGCUGGCGCUGAGGCUGCUCUUGCUGGAGCCAAAGGCACCAUUUCAUUGACUUCAGCGACAGUGGGACUCUGCUACUGCAAGACAAAAUUAAAAUAUUUUAAUCCUCCCCUCUGCCCAUAACCCUUUGGGAGGUUUUCAGAAAUGUCCCAUUGCUGUGCCACCACUAAACGGGCUCAGCUGGCGGGUAAGACGCCCUGCUGCAGCACAAGGGAGGUUGCCUGGCUCUGCGUGGGUCCUGGGAGCAUCCGUACUGCCAGGGAUAAAGCAAGCCAGGGUGCACGAGGGGCUGGGGACAGGCUGGCCACGUCCACGGGAAUCAGCUCCUGGUGAAGGGUCUCUCCAGAAAGUAGCGACAUGCCUGCCUGCCAGGAGGAGAGAUCACCGCCCGCAGCCCCCAUGACUCCAAGGGUCCCCUUUGGGCUUUUCAGCUCCUUUUGCUUUCUCAGGCUGUGGCUUCCAAGCGAUACUGUGAGAGAAAAGCCACCAAUGUCAUUUCCCUGCUCUGCCCUUCCCAGGUGAGUGCAGGAGCCUUUACCCAUCACUGUCCACACUUGGUUUGCUGCUUUUUGGUCGUGGCUAUUAGGGCGACGGUGCUUAUUGCGUUCAGACUUCAGUCCAGCACCUGCUCGUAGCAGCGACGACAGCAAAUCCUUCACCGAAGCAGGUCAGCACAAUUCGUCUUGGUUUAUGCACACUGUUGCCUUUAUAUUUUUUAUUUCUUCCCUGAUUUUGCAUUUUGCUGGAGGGCAGGGGGUAGGAUGAGCACUAGCACAGUGAUUGCCGUACUUCAGCUGAGCAUCGGCUUCCUGCGAGUUGAACUGGUACCAUUAAAGAAGUCAUCGCCAUAUUUCUCUGUAAGCUGUUGCCUGUCAACGACUAUCCAGUUUCAAAAUUUUCAAACAAUAGUGUGCCUGAAACUAGUGAGAAAAAAACAAAAAACAAAACAAAAUAACAACCUAUUCUGUAAAAA